rnacentral:rRNA from 1 species
AUACAUGCAAGUCGAACGCGUCUCCGUUAAUGAUUUUAGGUGCUUGCACUUGAAAGAUUUAACAUUGAGACGAGUGGCGAACUGGUGAGUAACACGUGGGUAACCUGCCCUUGAAGUAGGGGAUAACACUUGGAAACAGGUGCUAAUACCGUAUAACAACCAAAACCACCUGGUUUUGGUUUAAAAGACGGCUUCGGCUGUCACUUUAGGAUGGACCCGCGGCGUAUUAGCUUGUUGGUAAGGUAACGGCCUACCAAGGCGAUGAUACGUAGCCGACCUGAGAGGGUAAUCGGCCACAUUGGGACUGAGACACGGCCCAAACUCCUACGGGAGGCAGCAGUAGGGAAUCUUCCACAAUGGACGAAAGUCUGAUGGAGCAACGCCGCGUGAGUGAUGAAGGGUUUCGGCUCGUAAAACUCUGUUGUUGGAGAAGAACAGGUGUCAGAGUAACUGUUGACAUCUUGACGGUAUCCAACCAGAAAGCCACGGCUAACUACGUGCCAGCAGCCGCGGUAAUACGUAGGUGGCAAGCGUUGUCCGGAUUUAUUGGGCGUAAAGCGAGCGCAGGCGGUUUUUUAGGUCUGAUGUGAAAGCCUUCGGCUUAACCGGAGAAGUGCAUCGGAAACCGGGAGACUUGAGUGCAGAAGAGGACAGUGGAACUCCAUGUGUAGCGGUGAAAUGCGUAGAUAUAUGGAAGAACACCAGUGGCGAAGGCGGCUGUCUGGUCUGUAACUGACGCUGAG